ACCCCCGAAAUACAAAAACAUUAAUGGACUCCUGUGUUUAUUUUUUUUUUAAUUUUUUUAUUAUUUAUUUAUGAGAGUCAUACAGAGAGAGAGAGACAUAGAGAGAGAGAGAGAGGCAGAGACAUAGGUAGAGGGAGAAGCAGGCUCCAUGCACCGGGAGCCCGACGUGGGAUUCGAUCCCGGGUCUCCAGGAUCGCGCCCUGGGCCAAAGGCAGGCGCCAAACCGCUGCGCCACCCAGGGAUCCCAAACUCCUGUGUUUAUUGCAGCUUUAUUUACAAUAGCUAAACUAUGAAAACAGCUCAAGCGUCCAUUGAUAGGUGAAUGGUAGUCAUAAAAAAGAAUGAAAUCUUGCCAUUUGCAGCAAUAUGGAUGGAGUUGAAGAGUAUAAUGGUAAGUGAAAUAAGUCAGGAGGAGAAAGAUAUCAUGAGAUAGUACUCAUUUGUAGAACUUAAACAAAAUAAGCAAAGAAAAAGAGAGGGAGAAACUAAGAGACUCUUAACUAUAGAGAACAAAGUGAUGGUUACCAUGGUGGGACAUGGGUGGGAGGAUGUGUGAAAUGGGUGAUGGGGAUUAAGGAAUGCACUUUUCAUGAUAAAAAACAGUAAAAAUAUUGCAAAGGUACACUAAUGAGCCAAGUUACUAAGACAUCUGACUCAUAGGUAAUUCUUUGCAAAUAGAUUAAGAGAAUCUGGGGAAUCUAAUAUUUUUGACCCAAAUAUCUUUGUUCGGACACUUCAUAAAGCUAUAAUCUUAACAUCCACAGACGAAAAAGGAAGUUAGUGAUGCUGAAAACACAGAGAAUUGCAGGGAGAAUUCAGGACACUCAGGCACAACACAAAGAAAUCUCUCAAUUAUGAUGAAGUUUUCGAGUGUCAAGAAGCAUGGAACAAUACCAAGUACUGCAAUGUCACAUCAAUGACAGAAAGCUCUGUGUGAAGCCCAAGUCUUCGCAGCAUCGAGUCAGAGCCCGGAGGAAUCAGGCCUGUGGGCAGAAAGUCCUGUGGAGAGAGAGGCACAGUCAAGGGACACUUCAAAAAGAAACAGCACAAGUGUCGCCACCUAUAGGCAGAAAAUAUACUACAAUAAUGAAAGAGUGGCUAUAUCCAGUGAUGCUGAUGGCUAUUUUGACCUUCAAGAACUCCGGCCUGUGA
rnacentral:lncRNA from 1 species